GUUUUUCCAUGGAUCCACUCUCUUCUAUCAGUCUACUGAUUAAGUUUCACUCCAUCAGUAUGACCUGUCUAUCAUCUGCCUACUGGAAACUGGACCUUACUGUCAUUCUGUAUCAUAAUACCCUGUGUUACUUGAGCUCUGUGUCAGUUAUUAUAUAUUAAUUUAUCAUGAAGAGCCUGUUUCCUUCACUUGAGAAUAAGCUGUCAGAAGACAAGAAUUUUGUCUUCUUUGUGGGAUAUACAGUCUCUCUACAAAUACCUGGCUUAUGGUAAUUAUUUGAUAAGUCUUUGUUCAAGACACAAAUAAAUAUGUGUGGGCUUGGGCCUCAACAUAUAAGACAUAUAAAUAUAUUAUUGACCAUGACAGGAGGAGAAUAUAUUCAGAAAUGACUACUUUGAAAAUCAUUCUCAAUUGUAUAUGUUCUCUAAAUUUUUGGAGAGUUUAGCUGACAAUAAAACAUUUAAAGAGGCUAUUAUCAGUUCUCUACCAUAUAGCAUCUGCUGAUUGAAAUAGAUUAUAGAUCAAUUGUGACAGGCAAAUCCUGCUGAUAUUACAGCAAUAAGAUGUGGGCCUUUAAGAGGUGGAUAGACCAUGAGAGGUUGACCUCAGGGGUGGGAGUAGUGAUUUUAUAAAAUGAUGAGUUGAUCUGCUUUCUCUCUCUUUCACACUCUCACAUCCUCCAUGUGAUCAUAUGGCAUGAAGUCUUCUCCAGUUGCUGGUGCAUUGAUUGGACUUUCUAGCCUCUAGGACUGUGAGCCAAUAAAUUUCUGUGCAUUGUUAGUUACCCAGUCUCAGGUAUUCUGUUACAACAGCACAAAAUGAACAAGAUAAUACUUAGAAUUUAAAUUUAAAAAAUAUAAUUAAAUAUAGUAUUUAUUUGUGUAUCUCUAGUAGUAAUUUUUCUUUUAACCCACAGUGUAAUAGAAAAAUAUGUUUUAAAAGUCAAAUACUUGGGUUCAAAUCCCAGCUCUUUCAAAUCCAAGUUGGGGAGAUUGGAAUAAAUUUUACUUCUUUCUUGUAUUCUUAGGGUUUUUUUCUUACCUAGCAUUGAGCAACUCAUUGCCUGCUAUCCUUCUUUUCUUAAAUCCCACCACACCUACUGGGAAAAAAUAAAAUAUUCAAAAAUAACAAGGGGAUUCAUCAAAACUUUAAUGUGUAAAAGCAACAAUUUAAUAUUAAAAUUCUACAUAGUCAUUGUGGCUAUUUACAAGAGGAGCUUAUUAAAGUGGUUAACAUGAGUGGGGUUGCACUUGUCAUAUUUAAUGACAAGGGGGAUAGUUUUCACAAAUAAAUGCAGAAUAGACAUGAGAAUUACUCUGUGGCUCAUUUUUGAUUGACUAUUUCUCUCUGCUGGAUAUUUAUGAUGCAAACAAGCCUGACUCCUAAUACAUUCACAUGUCACUGAAAUACAGGAAUGUGUACUGAGAAAUGUGUUGUUAACAAACAUCAUAUAGCGUACUCAAAGAUGGCUUUGAGAUCCUUAGGUGAUAUAUGGUCCUAUAUAUCCCACUGUUGACUGAAAUGUAAAAUGUGGUUCAUGACUACUUAGCCAAUUGGUUAGCAUCCGUAAAGCUCCAAUGUGUUUUCUGAAGGUCUUGUCUUAAUUUGAGCCUGGUGAAUGAUCUUAACCUCAUUUUGUAGAUUCUACACAAAGCAUCAGCUGGGUUUCUAAAUACUCAUUGCUAAAUUCCCUUCCCG
rnacentral:lncRNA from 1 species